rnacentral:tRNA from 1 species
GGUGGUAUAGUGUAGUGGUUAUCACUCAGGAUUCUGAUUCCUGAAACCCAGGUUCGAUCCCUGGUACUACCU